rnacentral:rRNA from 1 species
UACGUAGGGGGCAAGCGUUGUCCGGAAUCAUUGGGCGUAAAGGGCGCGUAGGUGGUCUGAUAAGGGUGUGGUGAAAGCCCGGGGCUCAACCCCGGGUCGGCCGUGCCGACUGUUAGACUAGAGUGCUGUAGGGGCAGGCGGAAUUCCGGGUGUAGCGGUGGAAUGCGUAGAGAUCCGGAGGAAGACCGGUGGCGAAGGCGGCCUGCUGGGCAGUUACUGACACUGAGGCGCGACAGCGUGGGGAGCAAACAGG